CUGUUUCAUAAAAGAGCAAAACUAGGUUUUUAGAAUUAUUUGGAUUACAUACUCGGGUUAAUCGGACAGCUAAAGGGUGGAUUUGUAAGUGUAAAUAUUUAUCCAUAAACAAUGAGUAUCCCUUGAGUAUUAGUUUGUAAUAAUUGAUUAAAUAAAAGCAGGCGUAAAGUGUUGAAUAAUAAGCACAGUUGAAAUUUUAUUGAUGUAGAGUGAUGUCAUGAGUAAAGAUAAAGGCAUAAUUAUUGUUGACAGAGUUUAUUUGCGUGUGUUAUAUGUGCUCAUCAUGGUGACUCCAAGAAACGAGAUAUUAAUUCAUGUUUUUGGUGCUCUGCUGCCAUCUAGUGCCAGAGGAUCAGCAGAGCAUUUAAAUCAUACAAGUAUUUGUCACUGGCAAGUUCACCGUUUCAAAACUUUACUAUACAAAUAAGACUCAUCAUGUGGUUUGCACAACAGUGCUCUAUGUGUACCAAAAUGUAAAUACUUUUUUUUUUUUUUAUCAUUUUGACAAAAUAUUUAUUGAAUAACAGUCUUCACAAUUAAGACAGCAUUAAUUUUUCACUAGUUUUCUACCACUAGCCAUACUAUAUAUCUCUACAGCCCAAUCUGCACAUGUUUAUGUACUUUGUAUCAAAAUUUCUUAUAUUGCUAUAUUGUCUUAUAUUGUUGAGUAUCAUAUAUUGAAUAUUUUUGUGGCUGUUGUGGAAUUCGGUCAUGGCUACAGGACAUUCUCCAAGUACGUCAACAUACAAAAUCAAAUAAAUGCUCUCGAGCCAUUACAUGGGCACUUUAAAAAAAAAAAAAAAAAACUUGGUUAGAGAUGCCACGAGGUAGGUGGCAGUGCCUUAACCGUAUAUGUGUUGCAGGCCACUAGGACCUCUUCCAUCCUUGUCAAGGGGAGUGCUAACCUUCUCUCCUUUCAUACAACACAUUGAGGAAGCCUCCUUCCACAGUAUAUAAAGGUUGUAAUAGGAAUGAAUGUCGACAUGACGGUAGGUUUUUCUACCAAAAAUAAAGUCAUUACUUGUUCCAAGACAUAAUACAAAACAAACUUAAUAAUACAAUAAACAGAAUUAUAUAUGUCAAAUGUAGGAGUCACCUUUUGUUUAUUUGCAAGGACGAAAAACGUUAAACUAUUUCUGCGCCGCAAUGCAUUACUUAUUUGCAUAGAAAGUCUUUAAGCCAAUCACAUUGAGGAAGCGCAUGACGUUGCAUGAUGUUUCCGGAAGUAAACUUGCGUCCACCUCCAAGUCAGCAGUUUAGUGACGUUGUCGACCUACAGCCCUAUUGUGCGCGAGUGAUCGAGGGGUAGAGGGUGUAAGAGAGGAUUUGGGGAAACUCCUCAAAACUUCCAUCACACGCGUUGCAUUACUCGUUCGAACCAGGGAGGGUAUUCCUGAAUGCAGGGUCAUAGACACAGGGUAUGUUUCAGCCAGCUCUAUAGUUAGGGCACUGAUCAGGGAGUCGGCCAUUUUACGGACUAUCUCAAUUGUAAAAUCAUUCCAGUGCACUGUAACGUUCGCUCCCUAAAAUAAUCCCACAAUGCACCACAGAAACCCAGCGGACCGAUGCUCACUGUGUCCCCCUACUGGAAAUGAUCAUGUUUUCUGGAAAAGAUGGAGGAUGAACUCUCAGCCAACUUCCGGCAACAAUUGACUUUUAGUAUCGCACCUCCAGAGACACACAGACCUUCUCGAAUGUGCACAAGAAUGCUAGUGUCUUCCCUCACCUCAGCAACUGAGAAAUGCAUCAAAAUUAAUCAAGAGGAACUUCAUCAUGCAGCAAGACAACGAUUCAAAACACACUGCCAACUCAACAAAGGACUUUGUUGGGGGGAAAAAGUGGAAGGUUUUAGACUGGCCAAGUCAGUCACCUGACCUUAACCCAAUUGAGUAUGCAUUUCACCUCCUGAAGAGCAGACUGAGUUUUUGGGGGAAACCCCCCCAAAACAAACCACAACUGAAAGAAGCUGCAGCGAAAUCCUAGAAAAACAACAGAAAAGAAGAAACCAACAAUUUGGUGAUGUCAGGAAGUCACAGGCUUGAUGCGAUUACUGCAAGCAAGGGAUAUGCACCCAAAUAUUAAGUGUUAUUUACUUUAAUUUACUUUGGUGUUUGGUGUGUACCACAACAAUGAAUUGGCCUUACCAUUCCAAUAGUUUUGGAGCGGACUGUAACUACUUUAUAUUUAUGUGACGUUUAUUCUUAGCUCUAAUGUCUAGAUUGUCUGGUAAUGAUUUUCUACCCUAACAGUAGGCAACUUUUUUCCUUAAUCAUAGGCAAAUCUCAUGUUAUGUGUUUGUCUAUUAAGCACCAGGACAUACAUUCAUGUAUUUCCUGUGUAUAUUUAAUUGGCACACUUAACACAAUAUAAAGUAUUCAGUUCUCUGAAAUACAAGCGUAACAAUUAGAACACAAAUGACAAUGAAAAAGUACAAAACACAAUAGGAGAUGAUGGGAGAAAAAAAUACUUGCUUAGCUGAGCAGAGAAAGUACAAUUUCAGAACAUUUUAUUAUUAAUCCACAGCUUAAAAAUAGACUUUUCCUCUUUAUUAUUUCCAUAAUUCACUCUUAUUUAUAGAUUCCUAUAUAUGUCUACUGAUUUGGAGCCGGUGUGGCACUCUUUACAGCAGAGCCAGAUUUGUGUGUGUGUGUGUGAGUGUGUGUGUGUGUGUGUGUGUGAGAGAGAGAGAGAGAGCAUGUGUGAAAUUGCAGGGAGGUUUUGCAAUAAUCAGAUGUUUUCAGGCAUCAUGAAUAUUUUCUUGCUUCAUAUUUACAGCUCAUUUUAUCAUUAUUGUAGGUCAGUUCAGUAUCCUGUAAUUACAACGUAAAACAACAAAAACCUCGUUAAUGGAACAAGACAUUUUUAACAAGAUUCU